CGGGACUCAUACGAGGACCCGUAAUUGGAAUGAGUACAAUUUAAAUCGUUGUACGAGUACCAAUUGGAGGGCAAGUCUGGUGCCAGCAGCCGCGGUAACUCCAGCUCCAAUAGCGUAUAUUAAAGUKGCUGCAGUUAAAAAGCUCGUAGUUGGAUCUCAGGCUUGGAGCCGGUGGUACACUGUCGUGUUACUGCUAGUUUCCGCCUCAUCAGUCGUUUGUUAUCUUAUGUCCUMUUUACCGGGUGCAUAAGAUGCUCGGCACGUUUACUUUGAACAAAUUAGAGUGCUCAAAGCAGGCCUUGUGCUUGAAUAUUUAUGCAUGGAAUAAUGAAAUAGGACUUCGUUUMUAUUUUGUUGGUUUUCGGUUACGAAGUAAUGAUUAAAAGAGACAGACGGGGGCAUCUGUAUGGUGGUGUUAGAGGUGAAAUUCGAUGAUCGCCGCCAGACAAACAACUGCGAAAGCAUUUGCCAAGGAUGUUUUCAUUAAUCAAGAACGAAAGUCAGAGGUUCGAAGACGAUCAGAUACCGUCCUAGUUCUGACCAUAAACGAUGCCAACUGACAAUCAGGGUUUACAAGAAAAGUUACCCUGGCAGUCCCUGGGAAACCUUUAAGUCUACAGGUUCUGGGGGAAGUAUGGUUGCAAGGCUGAAACUUAAAGRAACUGUUUUGACGGAAGGGCACCWCCASGAGUARGAGCCUGCGGCUUWAUUUGACUCAACACGGGAAAACUCACCCGGCCCGGMCMMWGWGAGSAUUGACAGAUUGAUAGCUCUUUCUUGAUUCAGUGGGUGUKUGGUGCAUGGCCGUUCUUAGUUGGUGGAGUGAUUUGUCAGGUUAAUUCCGAUAACGAACGAGACUCUAGCCUGCUAAAUAGUUUCAACAUGCACUGCUGUGUUGUUAAACUUCUUAGAGGGAUACGCUGCGUGGAGCGGCAUGAA
rnacentral:rRNA from 1 species